AGCGAACGCUGGCGGCAGGCUUAACACAUGCAAGUCGAGCGGGCAUCCUUGUGGUGUCAGCGGCAGACGGGUGAGUAACGCGUGGGAACGUGCCCUUCGGUUCGGAAUAACUCAGGGAAACUUGAGCUAAUACCGGAUACGUGCGAGAGCAGAAAGGUUUAUCUGCCGAAGGAUCGGCACGCGUCUGAUUAGCUAGUUGGUGGGGUUACGGCUCACCAAGGCGACGAUCAGUAGCUGGUCUGAGAGGAUGAUCAGCCACACUGGGACUGAGACACGGCCCAGACUCCUACGGGAGGCAGCAGUGGGGAAUAUUGGACAAUGGGGGCAACCCUGAUCCAGCCAUGCCGCGUGAGUGAUGACGGCCUUAGGGUUGUAAAGCUCUUUUCUCCGGGACGAUAAUGACGGUACCGGAGGAAUAAGCCCCGGCUAACUUCGUG
rnacentral:rRNA from 1 species